rnacentral:rRNA from 1 species
AACGAACGCUGGCGGCAUGCCUAACACAUGCAAGUCGAACGAGACCUUCGGGUCUAGUGGCGCACGGGUGCGUAACGCGUGGGAACCUGCCCUUAGGUUCGGAAUAACUCCCCGAAAGGGGUGCUAAUACCGGAUAAUGUCUUCGGACCAAAGAUUUAUCGCCUUUGGAUGGGCCCGCGUUGGAUUAGCUAGUUGGUAGGGUAAAAGCCUACCAAGGCGACGAUCCAGAGCUGGUCUGAGAGGAUGAUCCGCCACACUGGGACUGAGACACGGCCCAGACUCCUACGGGAGGCAGCAGUGGGGAAUAUUGGACAAUGGGCGAAAGCCUGAUACAGCAGUGCCGCGUGAGUGAUGAAGGCCUUAGGGUUGUAAAGCUCUUUUACCCGGGAUGAUAAUGACAGUACCGGGAGAAUAAGCUCCGGCUAACUCCGUG